GUCCUUAAUUUUAAUCCAACAUCGAGGUCGCAAACUCUUUUAUCGAUUAGAACUCUCCAAAAAAAUUACGCUGUUAUCCCUAAGGUAAUUUAAUCUUAUAAUCAAAAUAAUUGGAUCAAAUAAUCAUAAAUCAAUGUUUUAAAAUAAAAAAAGUUUAUUAAAUUUCUUAAUCACCCCAAUCAAAUACUUCAUUUAAUCAUUAUAUUUAAAUUCUUCAAAAUAACAAAUAAAUUAAAUAUAAAACUCUAUAGGGUCUUCUCGUCUUUAAACAACAUUUAAGCUUUUUUACUUAAAAAUAAAAUUCUAAUUAAAUUAAAAAAAAGACAGUUUUUCUCUCAUCCGACCAUUCAUUCCAGCUUCCAAUUAAAAAACUAUUGAUUAUGCUACCUUUGCACAGUUAGAAUACUGCGGCCAUUCAAAUAAUCAUUGGGCAGGCCAGAGCUUAAAUCAUUAUCAAAAGGCC
rnacentral:rRNA from 1 species